rnacentral:rRNA from 1 species
GACCCCAGGUCAGKCGGGAUUACCCGCUGAGUUUAAGCAUAUCAAUAA